UACGAAGGGGGCUAGCGUUGUUCGGAAUUACUGGGCGUAAAGCGCACGUAGGCGGAUCUUUAAGUCAGGGGUGAAAUCCCGAGGCUCAACCUCGGAACUGCCUUUGAUACUGGGGAUAUCGAGUCCGGGAGAGGUGAGUGGAACUGCGAGUGUAGAGGUGAAAUUCGUAGAUAUUCGCAAGAACACCAGUGGCGAAGGCGGCUCACUAGCCCGGUACUGACGCUGAGGUGCGAAAGCGUGGGGAGCAAACAGG
rnacentral:rRNA from 1 species